GGACUGUGGCUCAGUGGUAGCUCACUUGCCUUGCAUGUGUGAGGCACUGGGUUCAAUUCUCAGCACCA
rnacentral:tRNA from 1 species